AUCGAUUUCAUUUGACUGGUAUCAGCCCUAAAGUGGCUUAAUAUUCCAAGUGCAUUUAUUGAGUAAAAUUAAGAAUUUUGUCCUUAUGAAGGUAGAAAUGCCCCCGGAAAUCAGUUUAAGGGGGUCCUGUACAGGCCGGAGGGGCAGCCCAACGGCGUGCUGUACACCACAGUGAAGCAGUCCAUCGAUCUGCCCAUGAAGAAGGGCGAUUACCUGGUGGAGGUGCGUGCGCACAGCGAGGGAGGAGAUGGAGCCGUCGCACAAGUGCGCAUCGCAGGUGCGGCCGUUCUGGCGUCUCCGUCUCUCGGCUUCUUCUCGCUUCUCCUCACGGUUCUGUUGAGUUUGAUUCUCUGAAUGUAGUUUCAUCCUGAUUCAAUGAAGCUGAACUCUUGCAGGAUGAAACCCACCAAUAUUCAGAGUCCACGCGUGGCUCUGGAGAACAAAAGACUGGAGAUUCAGGGCAGAGCGUGUGUUUCAUGUCUGAACAGUUCAAUAUGCCUUACAACAUCUCACACUCUGAUCUCUUACUGAGCGCUGAUUGGUCCAAACGAAGCGGAAACAGGAAGUGUUGUCGUGAGACUUCCUGUGUCUUUUGGUGACAGAUCAGCGUCUCACGUUUGUCUUUAUGUCAUUGUCAGAUCAGUGGCUUUCUCUUAUUUCUGUGGACGGAUACAGUCAAAGCAAACCAACAAUUCACAUUCAACUCCAUUCACUUUUAGAGGAUUAUUAUAUAUGCAAUAAUUUAUAAGACAUUCGUGUAUUCAACACUGCAUCUGUUUUUUAUAUUAUCAUAUCUGUGAUAUAUUUUUGUUUUUAAAUUAGGAUAUAAUUUUAAUAUCUGUAUUGGGUUUAUGUGAGGAACAUCAGUGGCUGAAUGAAAACGGACGUUUGUGUUUGGGUUUGUGUUCGUUUAUGAGCUUCAGUCUCAGAAAUGUUAUGAAAUAUGAUCAGCUGAUGUAGACGUACAAAUACUGCGAAUGCAUUUGUGUUUUAGUGCGGUUUAAUGUGAUUUCACACUGAACACGUCCAAGUGAACACCAGUGCCGGGGAGUAACUGAUUACAUGUAAUCUGGAUUACGUAAUCGGAUUCCAAACAUUUAGUACUUGUAGUUAGAUGAUAUUACAUAUUAAAAUGUUCGUAAUCAGAUUACAGUUACUUUUUUAUAGAUUACAUGAUUACAGAUUAUUCACACUAUGAAUAAUUACGCAAGUUACUAAACACUGCCGAUAUAUAACUGACAUAAAUAUUUCAAACCUGGAAGACUUUGUCCAUGUCAUUGCUUUUUCAUGUUUAUUAGUGUUUAACCCAUCUGCAUAUUUACUUGAAGUCCCCCUGAGAUUUAUAGUUUAUUUCAAAUAAUUUAACAUAUUUGCAUGUACUUUGAUGUCGGUUAAUCAUCAUAUAUUUUAUUUAUUUUUCCCAUUUAAAGCUGUAAAAAAUGUCAAAAGUAACGCAAAAGUAGUCCAAAUACAUCACCUGAAAUGUGUAAUCUAGAUUACAUGAAUGCUACAAUUUUGUAAUUAGUAACCGACUAGUUUGUAAGUAAUCUAGCCAGCACUGGUGAACACAGAUUCAUUGAGUUAUUAAUGCAUCAGAUUCAGUUACAUGGUGAAAGUUUCAUUAACAUUAAUUACAUUCGUUAAUAACCACAUAAAUGAUUCUUGAGCACAAAACUGCUUUUGUUUUGACUGUAUCAUUCAGCUCUGUGUGUCAUUGGCAGGUGAUUUGUGAUGAAUGUCAUUUAACGUUUUUAUUUUUAUAAUAAUGUUUGUUGCAGUCGCUAACUUUAAAUGAUGAUAUUCACACGGUUUCAUCCAUUUCUGUGAGUUUCAUAUUGGAGUGUUUGCUCAAAUAUAUGAUUUAUAGUCUGUUAACUCAUGCAUCUGUAUGUCACAUGCUCCUUUAUAAACAGAUCAUAUGCUCUGCCAUUCAUCUGAUGAUCUGUAGAUUUUGUUUUAUUGAUCAGGAUUUGAUGGUUUUACUCGUCUUUGAGAAACUCCCUCAUGAUCAGAUUGUUUGUAAUGAAGUGGAGCAGUGAAUUGAUGUGAUCUGAUGUGUCAAGCUGAAGUUUCUCCUCAUUUAAACCACCACUAAGUGCUUUUGCUCCUGAUGUUCGUCUGCGUGAGAGAGUUUUGCCAAAUGCAUGGAUGCCUUGAGCUUUAGCGGCCUGCAGUUAUUCAGAGGCCUGCUGCAUGAUGGGAUUGAAUGGACUGAUCGUCAUACUCGCUGGUUCAGUUCAACAACAGGUCAGACUCUAACUAGACUAACCUGUCAGUUAUUACCUGCUUCAUUCAACUCUGCCUUCAAUUAAAGUUUAUAGAGACCA